AUCCUGCGGGAGGGGGACGCAUUCCUCACCCGCUCCUCUUCAUCUCUUGCGUCCGUUUACCUUCCCCGCCCAGAUUCAGUACCUCUCGCCAGACUCUCACCUGGAUCCCAGACUCCUUCUUCUCCAGGUGAUCGGGAGAGCGAGUUUGGGGCGAGGGUAGGAGGGAUGGAGAGGGCGUGGGAGACCUAAUAUCCACUCCCCCGGCCCGUGACGCCUGCUCGGUGUCCCUUCCCUGCAGUCUUCUGAGCGGACGCAUCUCGACGCUGAAAGAUGAGACCGGAGCAAUCUUCAUCGACAGGGACCCUACAGUCUUCGCCCCCAUCCUCAACUUCCUGCGCACCAAAGAGUUGGAUCCCAGUUCGUCGCCUGCAGCUUCGAGAGGAGUUGGAUCGAUCUUCUUGUGGAAACGUCCUCUUCAAUGGUUACCUGCCACCACCAGUGUUCCCAGUGAAGCGGCGGAACCGGCACAGCCUAGUGGGGCCUCAGCAGCUAGGAGGACGGCCAGCCCCUGUCCGACGGAGCAACACGAUGCCCCCCAACCUUGGCAAUGCAGGGCUGCUGGGCCGAAUGCUGGAUGAG
rnacentral:sRNA from 1 species